AGAGUUUGAUCCUGGCUCAGAUUGAACGCUGGCGGCAUGCCUUACACAUGCAAGUCGAACGGCAGCACGGGUGCUUGCACCUGGUGGCGAGUGGCGAACGGGUGAGUAAUAUAUCGGAACGUACCUUAUCGUGGGGGAUAACGCAGCGAAAGCUGCGCUAAUACCGCAUACGCCCUGAGGGGGAAAGCGGGGGACCGUAAGGCCUCGCGCGAUUAGAGCGGCCGAUAUCUGAUUAGCUUGUUGGUGGGGUAAAAGCCCACCAAGGCGACGAUCAGUAGCUGGUCUAAGAGGACGAUCAGCCACACUGGGACUGAGACACGGCCCAGACUCCUACGGGAGGCAGCAGUGGGGAAUUUUGGACAAUGGGGGCAACCCUGAUCCAGCAAUGCCGCGUGAGUGAAGAAGGCCUUCGGGUUGUAAAGCUCUUUUGUCAGGGAAGAAACAGCAGCUCUAACACAGUCUGCGAAUGACGGUACCUGAAGAAUAAGCACCGGCUAACUACGUGCCAGCAGCCGCGGUAAUACGUAGGGUGCAAGCGUUAAUCGGAAUUACUGGGCGUANAGCGUGCGCAGGCGGUUAUACAAGACAGGCGUGAAAUCCCCGGG
rnacentral:rRNA from 1 species